GUGCCAGCAGCCGCGGUAAUUCCAGCUCCAAUAGCGUAUAUUAAAGUUGUUGCAGUUAAAAAGCUCGUAGUCGGACACGAGGCGCCGGCGGGCGGUACCCCUCUUCCUGAGGUGCCUACUGCCCGAUCCGGGCCUGACCCGCUGGCUUGCGACUGGUGCUCUUGACUGGGUGCCAGAAGCGGUCGGAACGUUUACUUUGAAGAAAUUAGAGUGUUCAAAGCAGGCGAUUCGCCUGAAUGGUGGUGCAUGGAAUAAUAUAACAGGACCUCGGUUCUAUUUUGUUGGUCUCCGGAACUCGAGGUAAUGAUCAAUAGGGACGAACGGGGGCAUUCGUAUUGCGGUGUGAGAGGUGAAAUUCUUAGAUCGCCGCAAGACGGGCUGCUGCGAAAGCGUCUGCCAAGAACGUUUUCAUUGAUCAAGAACGAAAGUCAGAGGCUCGAAGAC
rnacentral:rRNA from 1 species